GACGAACCGUGCGAACGUUAUUCGGAAUCACUGGGCUUAAAGCGCGUGUCGGCGGCCCGGCACGUCCGUCGUUGAAAGCCCCCGGCUCAACCGGGGAAUCGGCGCGGAUACGACCGGGCUGGAGGGUGGUAGGGGGAGCCGGAACUUCCGGUGGAGCGGUGAAAUGCGUUGAGAUCGGAAGGAACGCCCGUGGCGAAAGCGGGCUCCUGGACCACACCUGACGCUCAGACGCGAAAGCCAGGGGAGCGAACGGG
rnacentral:rRNA from 1 species